AUGGUUCUUAUACUACAAUGGAAUGCAAGAAGUUUAGUGGCAAACGGGCAGGAAUUUAAACAUUUUAUCAAUUCAUUACCAAUGGCACCUGAUGUAUUAUGUAUACAAGAAACAUGGUUGACACUAAAUUUAGAUUUUAGAAUAAAUAAUUAUAUUAGUGUAAGAGGUGAUAGGGAAAAUGGUAUAGGAGGUGGAUGUGCUACAUUUAUCAAAAGGAAUAUUCCUUAUCAAGUUAUCGCAAAAGGAAGGGAAGAAGAGUAUAUCAUAAUAAAAAUAUGGACUAAUCAAGGACAGCUUUCUGUUAUAAAUUAUUAUAAUCCAUGUAGAAAACUAGUUUUUGAUAAAUUAUGUCAGAUUGUGGAAAAAGUGGAUAAUCAGAUUUUUUUAUGUGGUGAUUUUAAUGCUCAUAGUUCAUUAUGGGGAGGAGAAAAAACUGAUUUAAAUGGACAAAUAAUAGAACAGUUAUUGGAAGAAAAUGAGAUGGUGUGCCUUAAUGAUGGGAGGAAAACAAGAAUAGAUGUUCACACAGGCAAAGGUUCAGCACUUGAUUUAACACUGGUGUCAAAAGAGGUGGCAGGUAUUUGUGAGUGGGAGAUAUGGGAGGAUUCGACUAUAGGUAGUGACCAUUAUCCUGUUUUAUGUAAAAUAUAUGUAGGAAGUGAUGAGCGGGUAGAGGAAAGAGAGGCUAAAUGGAUAUUUAAUAAAGCUAAGUGGGAAAAAUUUGAGUAUUUAUGCGAGGUGGAAAGUAGUGAAAUAGAUUUAAACCAAGAUAUAGAUAAAAUUGAUGUUAAGUUUAGGGAAGUAGUUUUGAGAGCUGCUAAGUUAUCUAUUCCAAGAAGUAAAGGGAAAAUGAAUAGGAAAGCAGUUCCAUGGUGGACAGAAGAAUGUAGUAAAAUCAUUAAAGAAAGAAACAGGGCAUUUAAGAGAUUGAAGAGAACGCACAACUUUCAAAGAUUAAUGGAGUAUAAAAAGGCUCAAGCACAAGUUAGGAAAAUAGUUAAAAAGGCAAAAAGAAAUAGUUGGAGAGAAUAUUGUAGUAGUAUAGGUAGAACAACUCCAUUGGGGGAUGUGUGGGGAAUGAUGAGGAAAAUGAGGGGAAUUAGAAAAGAUUGGCAGUAUCCAGUUUUAAAAUCAGGAGAAGUCAUAGCUGUAACAAAUGAGGAAAAAGCUGAAAUAAUAGUUAAGGCAUUAGUGGAAAUUUAUAGUUCUAAUAAUUUGUCAGAGGCAAGUAAACGGGGGAGGGAAGAGACUAGAGAUGCAUAUCCAGAAGCACUAAGAAGAAAGGAAAGUACAGAGGAUGCUAUGGAUACUCCAUUUACAUUAAGAGAAAUGAAUCGUGCAAUAGGUAAGUCAAAAGUAACUGCCCCGGGAAAAGACCAGAUAUGCUAUAGUAUGUUAAAGCAUUUAGGAUUUUUAACUCAAAUGAAACUUUUAGGAUUAUAUAAUAAGGUCUGGGUAGAAGGCAGAUUACCUAUAAAUUGGAAAGAGGCGAUUAUUAUACCUAUAACAAAACCAGGUAAGGACCCUACAAAUCCAGCAAACUAUAGGCCUAUUGCUCUCACAUCGCAUGUUGGGAAAAUAAUGGAAAGGAUGAUUGUAGAAAGAAUGACUUUUUAUGUAGAAAAUAAGGGACUUUUAUCUCUUUAUCAGAGUGGUUUUCAGAAAGGACGGGGAUGGGGAUCCUGUGGUUUGUAUGGAAACUGA
rnacentral:lncRNA from 1 species